AACGCUAGCUACAGGCUUAACACAUGCAAGUCGAGGGGAAACGAUAUUGGAAGCUUGCUUCCGAUAGGCGUCGACCGGCGCACGGGUGAGUAACGCGUAUCCAACCUGCCCACCACUUGGGGAUAACCUUGCGAAAGUAAGACUAAUACCCAAUGACGUCUCUAGAAGACAUCUGAAAGAGAUUAAAGAUUUAUCGGUGAUGGAUGGGGAUGCGUCUGAUUAGCUUGUUGGCGGGGUAACGGCCCACCAAGGCGACGAUCAGUAGGGGUUCUGAGAGGAAGGUCCCCCACAUUGGAACUGAGACACGGUCCAAACUCCUACGGGAGGCAGCAGUGAGGAAUAUUGGUCAAUAGGCGAGAGCCUGAACCAGCCAAGUAGCGUGCAGGAUGACGGCCCUAUGGGUUGUAAACUGCUUUUAUAAGGGAAUAAAGUGAGCCUCGUGAGGCUUUUUGCAUGUACCUUAUGAAUAAGGACCGGCUAAUUCCGUGCCAGCAGCCGCGGUAAUACGGAAGGUCCGGGCGUUAUCCGGAUUUAUUGGGUUUAAAGGGAGCGUAGGUGGUUUGAUAAGUCAGCGGUGAAAGUUUGCAGCUUAACUGUAAAAAUGCCGUUGAAACUGUCGGACUUGAGUGUAAAUGAGGUAGGCGGAAUGCGUGGUGUAGCGGUGAAAUGCAUAGAUAUCACGAAGAACUCCGAUUG
rnacentral:rRNA from 1 species